AAAGAGCCUUACGGUGAAGGGUUAGCGCCCCACACCGACCCCGAGUCAUGCGUUGACGGCCGUAAGGUCGGCGGCGAAGCGUUGACAGGGGCACGCACGGGCCAGCCAUUGAGCUGCGAAAUAAAAUGGUCCGGGACGCCGACGCUGUUAAGACAAGCGGAAGGCAACACCAAGGAUGGCGAUAUGCGCGAGCCGUCCGAGGGUCCCGCGCAGUCGAAGACCC
rfam:Desulfohalobium retbaense DSM 5692, complete genome.